UUGCCUAUGGGUGGACACCGAACACGGGAAAAGUCAAUACCAAUAAACAAAAAUCGCCUAUUAACAUUUACACUUCCCUCUACCCGCCAUUCCGCCAGGCCAAUACUGAAUACUCCGAUGGCUGCUUGGCCUGCUUCUCUUCGAAUUUCCCCAAAUCAAAUCGCACAUAAUCAACUAAUUUACAAGAAUUACCAGCUGUAUAAUUCCCAGUUUUCUGCUACAACAAACCACCCAUUUCGUCGAUUUAGGCUUCCAAGCUCUCAUCUUGGAAUUGUUAGACUCUCAAAUCAAGCUCAAUCAUUAAUUAAUUUUACAACCCCAAUUAUGGAAGUUCCACUUUUAUCAUGUGAAGAGGCAAUUGAGAGGUUAAGAUUGAGUAGAGAGAGGCAUAAGGGCAAACAGCAAUUCUUGGCUAUGUACUCUAGUAUAUUUGGUGGAAUUACUACAGACCCUGCGGCGAUGGUCAUCCCCAUGGAUGAUCACAUGGUACAUAGAGGUCAUGGGAUUUUUGACACCGCGACUAUAGUGGAAGGUCAUCUCUACGAAUUGGAUCAACACCUUGAUCGUUGUGUGAGGUCUGCAUCUAUGGCAAAAAUCAGUUUACCGUUUGAUAGGGAAACCAUGAGAAGCAUACUGAUUCAGACAGUUAGUGCUUCUAAGUGUAGAAAUGGCUCUUUAAGAUAUUGGCUUUCUGCAGGACAUGGUGACUUUCAUCUCUCCCCAUCUGGGUGUGCUGAGUCAACAUUUUACGCCAUUGUGACUCAAAGUUCAACCUCAUCUGAUCACACGGGGAUCAAAGUAAUUACAUCUUCCAUUCCAAUAAAGCCUCCUGUGUUCGCUACAAUGAAGAGUGUCAAUUACCUUCCGAAUGCACUAUGCCAGAUGGAAGCUGAAGAAAAUGGUUGCUUUGCAUCUAUAUGGCUGGAUUCUGAAGGAUUUGUUGCUGAGGGUCCAAAUAUGAAUGUGGCCUUUGUCACGUAUGAUAAAGAGCUUAUGAUGCCAAGAUUUGAUAAAAUCCUUAGUGGUUGUACGGCCAAGAGAGUGCUUAAGCUUUCACAGGAGCUGGUUAAGAAGGGUGACAUUCGAGGAGUAAGCACUAGGGAUGUGACCGUGGAAGAAGGGAAAAAUGCUGAGGAGAUGAUGCUUUUUGGCAGCGGUGUCCUAGUGCGUCCAAUUGUUCAGUGGGAUGACCAGGUCAUUGGUAAUGGAAAUGAAGGUCCUGUUGCUCGAGCACUUCUUGAACUCCUUCUGCAGGACAUGAAAUCAGGCCCAUCAACAGUUCGGACACCUAUUCCUUAUUAGUCACAAAGAGCAUUAUGCAUUGUUUUUUGCUCGAGUCAAUGGUAGGAAAAAAGAUCUCAGCAAGUUCCCAUCAGCAUAUAAAAAAAGGACCAAAGGAGAUGGUGCUUAUGGGCAGAGUGGUUGCUAUGUACUGAUGUGUUGGAGCAUCCAGUUAUUCAGUGGGAUGAAUAAGUUUCCUGCUAUGGUUGAUGUUAAGAGGGUACGUCUUUUUUCUUCUCACCAUUAAAAAUAUAGAGGUUAAGAGAAGAGCUGUUAAGGUUAAAGAACGGCUACCCAAGUUCAAUUAACAACUGGUAAGGGCAAAAAAGUUCAGCUAAAGGCUAAUAGGCGGAUUAGACGAUGGCUGUAUUAUAUUUUCCUUUCUUUCUGUUGACGUUUCCUUUCCUUAAAGGAAAAUUUGCAAAGAGCACAAGUUGUUUUUGCUUUAUAGUAAAGUUUCCUCCCAUAUCAACCCUAGCAUAAUUUUUUGUUGUUAAAGAUCAGUUGAAAAAGCUAUUACAAGAAUAAAGAAUUAUACAAGGAGCUGUACACUAGAAUGACAUACUAAUUUCCUUAUAAUACUUUGUUUACUUCGUAUUUAAGAGAA